UCUCACAAUUAAUCGACUUAACGGGAUG
rnacentral:sRNA from 1 species